UCCGAUAAUACUCCUGCCUACACGUUGGGGUGCUUUGCCUUUCAUCCACACGCUUUACUGUUCCCAAGUCUGGAUGCUUCCGCACCUUUGAUCCACAAGCACCUCUUCUUUUCGCUCCGUUUCGUUGCUUUCUCCUCCACCGCAUAGUUCUUGCUUCGGUAACAAUCAGACACGUCCCCGCACCUUUUCCUUCUUGCUGCAGUUAAGCUUUCCUCCUCCACCACUCAGUUCUUGCUUCAGUCUGAAUCAGUUUUACCACCCAAAAACCCAGAUCGCUGUUGCUCAUCCAAAACCCACACAGCCGCCACCACCACUUCAUCCAUCACCACGUUUUACGGAUUCCUGUUGACUGAAGGAAGGAGAAAGAAAUUGAAGGUUGUCGCAACCAGUAACAGACCGUUCCCGGUUCCCGCAACAGCCUCUGGUGUGUCUUCUACAACUCCGACAUCGACGAGCUAGAUAGCUGCUUUGCCUGGUAAGAUUUUUGUCCUCAAUUUGAAAUUGGUUGUUUAAUUCCUGUUAUUUGCCAAGAAAUCUUGAAUAUACCCAUAACUUGCCUCCCUCUUUCAGUUUUGAAAUUUAAAUUUUAAGGUAUGAGGGGUUUCGAUAGCCGACCCCACUUAGUGGGAAAAGGCUUUGUUGUUGUUGUUGUUGUUGAGAGGUUUCGAACAGGGGCUUAAAUUGGGUUAGGGUUUUGUUCAAUUUUAAUUUCUUUUUUCUGGUUUUAGUUUCAAGUUUUGGCUUCAAUCUCUUUACUUAUCAAAAUUUUCAUGAAAUUUAAAUUUAUUUGUCUAAUUAGAUUGCGUAUGCCUUCAAUUCUUUAUUUAAUUGUUCUGUUUUCAUUCACGUUUAUAUACUAACAAUAUGUAUAUUUUACUUUCACGUUUGCAAUACAAUGAGCGUAUUUCGAUCCACCAUUUGGAAUCUUUUUACUCGAACAAGUAGAUUAGAAACCGAGUGCGAUGAAGUUGGAAACCCAAAGUAAAUGGAUCUCGUAAUCAAUUUGGUGGCUUCCAGUGCAUAUUGCUUUGCUUGAAUGGUCAGAAAAUCCUUUCAUUAUACUAUCUAUAUUCAGUUAUAAUACUUUCACUUGCAUACGAUGCAAUGAAAUAGAAUAUUAGUUGAACUAGAAACGAUUCUAAUUAUCCAAACAUCAAGUUGGGUGCCACUUUAAAUGUAGGACAAUUGAAAAAAAGGAUCUUUGGUUGCUGUUUUUGGAUUUGACAAUAUUGGCUUCACUGUAAAUGAGAACAAACUUUAAUUUCGAUACAUACAUGCACAUAUUUAUAUACUAACAAUGUACAUCUUACAUUUGCAAUUCACUAUUUGAAACCUUUUCAGUCGAACAAGAAGAUUAGAGUCCAAAUAUGAAGAUUUUGAGACCCAAAGUAAUCGGAUCUCAUGAUCGAAUUGGUGGUUUUCUAAGCAUAUUACUUAAUGCUGAAUUAUUUUUUUCCAACAUAACGUUUCGUUGCCACUUUAAAUGUAACAAAACCGAAAAAGAAUCAUCAAUUGCUCUUUUUUGACUUGGCUUUGGUGGCCUCGCUGUAAGUGUGAACAAAUUUUUUUUAUCGCAAAUACUUUAUUGUUUAUGCUUAUACAUGCUUUGUUUAGAUUGCUGAAACUGCAAGAAUUUUAUGCAGCGUCACAAAUGACUUGGCCUGACUUCAAUCUCAAGAGGUUUAAAAAAGGUGCAUUUGGCCACAUCACCAAGAGCUACUACUACGCAUUAGGGACAAUUAAACAAGCACGUUGUAGAAUCCAUAAAAAAUCAUGUAACUUGUAUAUAGUUAGGACUUAGAAAUUAGCUAUUUUGAUGGUACAUAGGCUCUUAAUGCAAACCCAAUAGAAUCAAAAUGAAAUUGAAAGACUUAUUAUACCAUGUAAAUUAAGUUGCUUUGAUUAAUUUCGGAAUUAUUUAGAA